GAUUGAACGCUGGCGGCAGGCCUAACACAUGCAAGUCGAACGGUAACAGGAAGCAGCUUGCUGCUUYGCUGACGAGUGGCGGACGGGUGAGUAAUGUCUGGGAAACUGCCUGAUGGAGGGGGAUAACUACUGGAAACGGUGGCUAAUACCGCAUAACGUCGCAAGACCAAAGAGGGGGACCUUCGGGCCUCUUGCCAUCAGAUGUGCCCAGAUGGGAUUAGCUKGUUGGUGAGGUAACGGCUCACCAAGGCGACGAUCCCUAGCUGGUCUGAGAGGAUGACCAGCCACACUGGAACUGAGACACGGUCCAGACUCCUACGGGAGGCAGCAGUGGGGAAUAUUGCACAAUGGGCGCAAGCCUGAUGCAGCCAUGCCGCGUGUAUGAAGAAGGCCUUCGGGUUGUAAAGUACUUUCAGCGGGGAGGAAGGUGUUGUGGUUAAUAACCRCAGCAAUUGACGUU
rnacentral:rRNA from 1 species